rnacentral:rRNA from 1 species
UACGUAGGGUGCAAGCGUUAAUCGGAAUUACUGGGCGUAAAGCGUGCGCAGGCGGUUUUGUAAGACCGAUGUGAAAUCCCCGGGCUCAACCUGGGAACUGCAUUGGUGACUGCAAGGCUUGAGUGUGUCAGAGGGAGGUGGAAUUCCGCGUGUAGCAGUGAAAUGCGUAGAUAUGCGGAGGAACACCGAUGGCGAAGGCAGCCUCCUGGGAUAACACUGACGCUCAUGCACGAAAGACGU